rnacentral:lncRNA from 1 species
GCAAUCUGUUGUUGAAUAAGAGAUGAGGCUUGUGCCGCCAUCACAGCUUGCCUAGGAAUACUGGUUUUUCUUUUCACCGUGGUUAGGUCUUUUAAGAAUUUUGUAUAGGAGGGGAUCUGUCUGAUGGCAUCUAAGAAGGGUAAAUUUAUUUGAACAUUUUUAAAGACUUCCAUGAUUUCAUCGUACUGAGAUUUUUUCUUUGAGUCUUGUAGUCUAC